ensembl:lncRNA
GGGUGGAGCGGGCAGCUGAGAAGGAGAGGGAAGGCAUUACUCCGCAGCUCCUGCGGAAAUUCGUAUUCCGUGCUACCUAAUCUGCUUCAAGACAAAGGGUCGGCCAGGAUCAAAUGUCUUUCCCCCACCCGUGUCUCUAUUUUAACCGCCUGGUGAGUCGACUUUAAUGAAGAUCGCCCCCGUCGCAGCAGCCACCCAAGCGGUCUCUAGGAGAAAGGGCGCAAAACAGAGCCCGGGGGACCGACCCGGGGAAGGCGUUCUACGACCUGUCCGUGGGCACGCCCUUGGGUGCGCACGGAGUCCAAAGGCCCAUCUGGAGAGACUGCUUGGGCCAUUUCUCCCUCUCAUGGCCCUCAUCCCGCUUCCUGCCAGUGUGCCUGCCCACGCAGAGCUUUCCGAGGUGGGGGUCGCAUCCCUCCGACUUCUCCCGGCUCGCUCUCCGCCCAGGCACGGCACACCACACGCGGACAAGAGCGCGAGCAGCCUGGGCCGGUCGGAGAAGUCCGUCCUCACUCCUCUGCCGGCUCCUCUGCGUCCGCAGGCAUAAAAACCCAUCAACGGGGCUCCGCAUAGGGGCGCGGACGCGGAGGUGGGCUGGAGGUGCGGGCGCUCCUUUCAGGUGCCUAGACGUGCGGCUGGCUGGAGAGGAUGUAUGCACUCCCACCCGGCCUGGGCUCCAGCGCAGGGGCCUCGCCUCCUCCGCCAGGGCGAGGUGCGCGUCUUCCACCCAAACCGGGAUCCCUAGCCCGGCCGGAGGCGCAAUCUGUUCCGAGCCAGAGCCUUCCAGAGCCCCCAGGAGGAUGCGCCCACCCUCCGGCCGGCCGGCGCCUUCCAACACCAUCGCCACACUCACUUUCAUGCCAGCGCGAAAAGUGACGCUUACGGGCACAGCGGUCAGCAAAUGACCGCCUUAUCCGCGGAGCGGGGGGAAUCGGGGGAG